UGGGGAAUAUUGGACAAUGGGCGCAAGCCUGAUCCAGCCAUGCCGCGUGAGUGAUGAAGGCCCUAGGGUUGUAAAGCUCUUUCACCGGUGAAGAUAAUGACUGUACCCGGAGAAGAAGCCCCGGCUAACUACGUGCCAGCAGCCGCGGUAAUACGUAGGUGGCAAGCGUUAUCCGGAAUUAUUGGGCGUAAAGCGCGCGUAGGCGGUUUUUUAAGUCUGAUGUGAAAGCCCACGGCUCAACCGUGGAGGGUCAUUGGAAACUGGAAAACUUGAGUGCAGAAGAGGAAAGUGGAAUGCAAUGUGUAGCGGUGAAAUGCGCAGAGAUAUGGUGGAACACCAGUGGCGAAGGCGACUUUCUGGUCUGUAACUGACGCUGAUGUGCGAAAGCGUGGGGAUCAAACAGG
rnacentral:rRNA from 1 species